AUGCUAUGAAAGCUGUCUCUUUAAAAAAAAUCAGCUCCUUAUUUCAUGAUGAAUGUAAAUCUGACAUGGAGGACUUCCUAAUAUCUGUUUAUCAGAAUAUAUUGGUAUUGUUAUUACUUAGAAAUGAAGCAUUCAUUGUUAUUUCUGUUCAUCUGUUUCCUCACCGUAUUCACCUCUUUCUCAGUGGCUUGGAUUGCAAGAUUUCUGGGACAGGAACUUGAGUUUUCUGCCACCAAUCUCAGCAAGAUUCUGGGCUCUGAAAAUGUUACAGCUGUAGGAAACAUACUAAUCCACUAAGGUCUUUCUAUAUUUUAGCACCUCAGACUAACCAGGAGCUAUUGUGAUUUAGCUCUUCACAUCUUUUCCCACAACUGAUAGCCUCCCCAGUCAGCAUUUGCAUCUUCCAUGGAAUGAAGCCAGUAGCCUACAUGUUUGAAUCUUCAGCCCCGAGGAAAUAUUUCUCAAUGGCGAGGAACCCUUUCUUUAAAGAACUGCCUUCAAAAGCCCAGAGCUCAUGGGGCUGCUGGACCUCCUUCUGCACCAUUCCUAAAGCGUGAAACAUCUAAUCGUAGAAGUGCCUAAAACCCACAGAAGUCCUUAUCUUUGAUAUAGGAAGCCUGAGAAACCACUGCCUUUGGGUCCUGAUUUUCCCCUAGGAACAAGGAACUCCAAAUGUCUCAUCGCAGAUCUUUUGUUAAAGCUUUAAAAUGUGUUUGGAUUUGUCCUUUAAAACUCCAGAUCAGUCUAAUUAAAGCAAAAUGAAUCCUCUUUAUUGAUUCCAGAAAGAUUUAGCUUAACAGCCCUGUCUCUACAAAGAAGAUAACACAACAUAUUAGGACAUCUUUGCUUUUCCGUGCAGUCAUAUCAUGCUAGACAAAGUAAAAGUUAACGUGUUGUAACCAGCAUCACCCAUGUCCAAAACCAGACUAUCAUUCAUUUUACUAUUCCACAUGCCUCAAUGUUGUCUUAGAAUGCUGUGACAAUUUCAAAUCAAGCUACUGAAAUGAUGUUAAUGUAUUUUGAGACUGAUUAUAGUUACGUGGAUUUUCUUGAAUUAAAUUGUUUGUAUUGAAAGGUUAUUUGAAAAAUUAAUACCUGUGCCUGUGAUUUUCAGCAUUCUCCCAUUCACACUGCUGGCAGUGGUGGUAAAUACACUGGACACAGAGGUGGAAGUUGAUUUUACAGGAAGCCCUGCACAAUACCUAUUUGCUAGUUCCUUCCUCUCCACGAGAAACAGAGAAAACAAUCUUUGAUUGGGCCUUCCAGCAUGACCCAUAAUAGAUGAAGCUCUGCUUUCCUGAAGGAAAGGUCAUGGCACCAUCCUGAAGCUGACAACAAUCAUCAAUGAGAUUCUUCACCAAGGUGCAUUUUAUUUUCUUUCUUUUUCCCUGAGCCUCUCUCUUUAUUCUUGCUUGUCACCAUAGAAGUUGACAAGAUGUAAAUUUCAUCUUUAUUCAAUCCUAGAUGAUUUUAUUUGCAUUUUAAAAGGCACUCAGAGGAAAAAAAAGAUGUUUUGUAUCACAAUAGGAAAAGGUAGUGGAAGCAUCUGCUAAUGAAAUGGACACAUUUUUGAAAGUCCUAAAUAUACAAAUACCAAAUAGACAACAACUCUUCAUACAACUUCAUUAAGAUAAUUAUUCCCUGGAUUCCAGAUGUCUAAAAAAAAAAAAAGACUCAAAGCAAAAUUCUGGGUUUGGUCACAUCGGAAUAAUAUUAAACCUUUUUUAAAUCAGUGAUUUAAUCUUAUUUACAUAACUAAAUUCAAGUGCAGAACUAGUUGUCAUUCUUUGACAGCAUAUGUCAUGUUAGACAAGAUGGACAUAGAUAGCUGUAAAGUAUGUGUGCCAUGUUAGACACAUUGCUGAGGAAGGGUUUAAAUUUAUGAUUUUUCUAAGAACUUCUUCUGGCUGAUUUUAUUUUAAAAUGAGCCUAAGCUUUAUUGGGGGAACAGGUAGUGUUAAUUUAGUCAUAAUUUAAGGUCUGGAGAAAAGGAAAUGUGUAAGAUCUAGACAGCAUGAGCCAAUGUGGUCAGCAUUUACAUGUCAAAACCAUGUUUUAAUUCCCAGUCAGUUCAGGAAACAUAAGAGCUAGUACAUCUAUAUGGCUGAUAGGGGUGUGGUGCAGCUAUAACUGAACCAGCUUCCAGUUUAGUUGAGUUGACUGAUCUAUCACAGCGUCAAUGACACCACUUCAUGGAUCAUGUGGUGCCAUGCCUUGACUUUCUGAGAUACCCAUC